GACGAACGCUGGCGGCGUGCCUAAUACAUGCAAGUCGAACGCAGUGGGGACGGGUGAGUAACACGUGGGUAACCUCCCAUCAGAGGGGAUAACACUUGGAAACAGGUGCUAAACCGAUACUGAUGGAUGGACCCGCGGUGCAUUAGCUAGUUGGUGAGGUAACUGCUCACCAAGGCCACGAUGCAUAAACGGCCGGAGAGGGGGAACGGCCACACUGUGACUGAGACACGGCCCAGAAUCCUACGGGAGGCAGCAGUGGGGAAUCUUGGGCAAUGGACGAAAGUCUGACCGAGAUACGCCGCUUGAGUGAAGAAGGUUUUCGGAUAGUAAAACUCUUUUGUUAGAGAAGCGGUAUCUAACCAGAAAGCCACGGCUAACUACGUGCCAGCCGCCGCGGUAAUAC
rnacentral:rRNA from 1 species